rnacentral:lncRNA from 1 species
AUUGGAUAUCAAAAGAAACUAAGGGAUAUCAAUAAAAUACAAUAUACAGGUCAUGGGAGUCUUGUUUUUGUUUGUUGUUGUUGUUGUUGUUUUUGUUUUAAAGGCUUGUUUUAUUUUAAUGGCUGAUCUAUGUAGUCACGGAGGCCAGUAUGUACAGACAAAGAGGGGAGCUUUUAUUUCUUGGUCUCUUCCUCCUUGGACAGUCUUGAUGAUCUCCUCCUUCUUGGCCUGGAGGCGCUCUUCACGGCGCUUGCGUGCUUCCUUGGUCUUAGACCUGCGGGCCUCAGCCUGGUCAAUGUGGCGAUCAAUCUUCUUAGACUCACGGUAUCUUCUAAGCAGCCGGCGCAGAAUCCUCAUUCUCCUCAUCCACGUGACCUUCUCUGGCAUUCGGGCAUUGGCUGUACCCUUCCGCUUACCUAUGCCCAUGUGCCUGCCCUUCCGGCGGGCCAAGGUAUUUUUCCGGCAUCACGCCCGGGAAUGGACCCUCACAGGCUUGCGGAUGAUCAGCCCAUCUUUGAUCAGCUUUCGGAUCUGCUGACGGGAGUUGGCAUUGGCGAUUUCAUUGGUCUCAUUGGGGUCUAACCAGACCUUCUUCUUGCCACAGCGGAGGACACUAGAGGCGAGCCUCUUCUGAAGCCUGAGCAUACUCAGGGCUGCGGCCGCAGCAGCGAAAGGAAAGAGCUCCUGUUUUUGUUUUUGAUCUUCAAAUGCUGAGCAA